GACGUAGGGGGCCAGCGUUGUUCGGAAUUACUGGGUGUAAAGGGUUCGUAGGCGGUGUAGCAAGUCGGGAGUGAAAUCUCUGGGCUUAACCCAGAGGCUGCUUCCGAAACUGCUGUGCUUGAGUGUGGGAGAGGCGCGUGGAAUUGACAGGUGUAGCGGUGAAAUGCGUAGAUAUCUGGAGGAACACCGGUGGCGAAGGCGGCAUCCUGGACCGGCAUUGACGCUGAGGCGCGAAAGCGUGGGGAGCAAACAGGAUUAGAAACCCGGUGGCGACCAAGCACAG
rnacentral:rRNA from 1 species